rnacentral:rRNA from 1 species
UACAGAGGUCCCGAGCGUUGUUCGGAUUCAUUGGGCGUAAAGGGUGCGUAGGCGGCUUUCUAAGUCCGGUGUGAAAUCCUGGGCUCAACCCUGGAACUGCAUUGGAUACUGGGAGGCUAGAGUACUGGAGAGGAAACUGGAAUUUACGGUGUAGCAGUGAAAUGCGUAGAGAUCGUAAGGAAGACCAGUGGCGAAGGCGAGUUUCUGGACAGUUACUGACGCUGAGGCACGAAGGCCAGGGGAGCAAACGGG